UGCGUAGGUGGCGAGGUAAGUCGGAUGUGAAAUCUCGGAGCUCAACUCCGAAACGGCAUUGGAAACUACCUUGCUCGAGGAUUGGAGGGGGGACUGGAAUACUUGGUGUAGCAGUGAAAUGCGUAGAUAUCAAGUGGAACACCAGUGGCGAAGGCGAGUCCCUGGACAAUUCCUGACACUGAGGCACGAAAGCUAGGGGAGCAAACAGGAUUAGAUACCCUGGUAGUCCUAGCCGUAAACGGUGCACGUUUGCUGUAAAAGGAAUCGACCCCUUUUGUGGCGUAGCCAACGCGUUAAACGUGCCGCCUGGGAAGUACGGUCGCAAGAUUAAA
rnacentral:rRNA from 1 species